AUUGAACGCUGGCGGCAGGCCUAACACAUGCAAGUCGAGCGGAUGAAGGGAGCUUGCUCCUGGAUUCAGCGGCGGACGGGUGAGUAAUGCCUAGGAAUCUGCCUGGUAGUGGGGGAUAACGUCCGGAAACGGGCGCUAAUACCGCAUACGUCCUGAGGGAGAAAGUUGGGGAUCUUCGGACCUCACGCUAUCAGAUGAGCCUAGGUCGGAUUAGCUAGUUGGUGGGGUAAAGGCCUACCAAGGCGACGAUCCGUAACUGGUCUGAGAGGAUGAUCAGUCACCCUGGAACUGAGACACGGUCCAGAGUCCUACGGGAGGCAGCAGUGGGGAAUGUUGGACAAUGGGCGAAAGCCUGAUCCAGCCAGGCCGCGUGUGUGAAGAAGGUCUUCGGAUUGUAAAGCACUUUAAGUUGGGAGGAAGGGCAGUAAGUUAAUACCUUGCUGUUUUGACGUUACCAACAGAAUAAGCACCGGCUAACUUCGUG
rnacentral:rRNA from 1 species